UGGGACUGAGACACGGCCCAGACUCCUCCGGGAGGCAGCAGUGAGGAAUUUUCCGCAAUGGGCGAAAGCCUGACGGAGCAAUACCGCGUGAGGGAAUAAGGAUCUUGGUCUGUAAACCUCUUUUCUCAAGAAAGAAGUUCUGACGGUACUUGAGGAAUAAGCAUCGGCUAACUCCGUGCCAGCAGCCGCGGUAAUACGGGGGAUGCAGGCGUUAUCCGGAAUCAUUGGGCGUAAAGCGCCUGUAGGUUGUUUAAUAAGUCUGUUGUUAAAGACUAGGGCUUAACCCUGGAAAAGCAAUGGAAACUACUAGACUUGAGUAUGGUAGGGGUAGGGGGAAUUUCUAGUGUAGCGGUGAAAUGCGUAGAUAUUAGAAAGAACACCAGUGGCGAAAGCGCCCUACUGGACCAUCACUGACACUGAGAGGCGAAAGCUAGGGGAGC
rnacentral:rRNA from 1 species